rnacentral:rRNA from 1 species
UUUAAUUAUCAUAUAUAAAAGUGAAAUAUAAAAUAUAAAUUAAUUUUAGUUGGGGCAACUGGGAGGGAUAAAAAUCUUUUAUUAAAUCAUUUAUAGUAAUAUUUAUAUUUAUGAUCCAAAUUAGUUAAUUUUGAACUUAGAAU